AUUGAACGCUGGCGGCAUGCCUUACACAUGCAAGUCGAACGGCAGCAUAGGAGCUUGCUCCUGAUGGCGAGUGGCGAACGGGUGAGUAAUAUAUCGGAUCGUGCCCUAGAGUGGGGGAUAACUAGUCGAAAGACUAGCUAAUACCGCAUACGAUCUACGGAUGAAAGUGGGGGAUCGCAAGACCUCAUGCUCCUGGAGCGGCCGAUAUCUGAUUAGCUAGUUGGCGGGGUAAACGCCUACCAAGGCAACGAUCAGUAGCUGGUCUGAGAGGACGACCAGCCACACUGGGACUGAGACACGGCCCAGACUCCUACGGGAGGCAGCAGUGGGGAAUUUUGGACAAUGGGGGCAACCCUGAUCCAGCAAUGCCGCGUGAGUGAAGAAGGCCUUCGGGUUGUAAAGCUCUUUUGUCAGGGAAGAAACGGUAGUAGCGAAUAACUACUACUACUAAUGACGGUACCUGAAGAAUAAGCACCGGCUAACUACGUGCCAGCCGCCGCAGUAA
rnacentral:rRNA from 1 species